AUCAGCUGCUGGAGGUGUCGGUGGCGAAACAAGGAGGAAAUGACAAUCAGGCACUCCCAGUUCAGCUCAGGGCAGGAUUCUCUCCUCCCUGCCUCCCCACUCUGCUGCUUUCCCCAGGAGAUUGAGUGACGCGCCUCUACGCUUUCCCUUGGCCUCCCUCACAGCAAAAGGAGCCAAUAGGAAGAGGGACUCUGUGCUGUUAUGUGAAGCUAAGUGACGACAUCUCGCCCCGGAGCAAGAGGAGGACGGUGAGGGAAGCCGGAGGGGGAGAUGGGGCCUCUGCCUCCGUGCCCCCUCGACAGCCAUCCCCAGGAGGUGGAGUCGAUGACGCUGGGGCCCUCCCAUCCAGCCACGGUCUCCCACUGUGAGCAAAGGGAUGUCCCCCCCAACCCCAGUCUAUACCCGGGAUUCCUGUCACAGGAAGUGGGUGUGUAUGCAUGCCCGUGCAAGCACGCAUGUUUGCACACGCCAGCACAGGGCCGAGGCAUCAGGGAUGUCAAUCUCUUCACGUCUCCGUGGGAGCUGAAGGCAGCCAGCACACAUCCUCUUUCACCCAGAGCAAACCCGGGGCCCGGAGAACUCAUCCGCGCUGCCUUUCACCACUUUAUCCCCAGUGGGAUCAGAAAUGGGAUUUGCUAUCAGUCCCAGGUGGGGCUUCUCCGGCAGGGCUUCCUAUCGUCCUUGUCCUUGCUGCUCCUGCCCAGAGGGGUAGGUGUGCUACCAGCAGACCCCCGAGACCCCAAGGGAUGGCCUGUGACUGCCUCCAACCCAGCCCAGCUCCUCUCCCGGCCCUGGUGUCGGACCACACUGCCUUGUUACACCGGGACGAGGGGUUUCUGCUGCCUUUUUUUUC
rnacentral:lncRNA from 1 species